rnacentral:rRNA from 1 species
UACGGAGGGUGCAAGCGUUAAUCGGAAUUACUGGGCGUAAAGCGCGCGCAGGUGGCUUGGUAAGUCGGAUGUGAAAUCCCCGGGCUCAACCUGGGAACUGCAUUCAAAACUGACAAGCUAGAGUAUGGUAGAGGGUGGUGGAAUUUCCUGUGUAGCGGUGAAAUGCGUAGAUAUCGGGAGGAACACCAGUGGCGAAGGCGACUGUCUGGCCUGUUCUUGACGCUGAGGCGCGAAAGCUAGGGGAGCAAACGGG